UACAAAGAAAAAGACUCGUUCGAUGUCAUGUGAAUGCCACUACAACACAUAGUGCAAAUCUUCAUAAUUUCUUAAAAAAAUAAAAAAAAAAUAAAAACAUAUUAUUCAGAACAACCUUCCAAAAUCACAUAGUACAAAUCUUCAUCAUUUCUUAAAAAAAAGAAAAAAAAAUAUAUUUUAGAACAACUUUCCAAAACCAAUUGUGGCCGC
rnacentral:lncRNA from 1 species